GAUGAACGCUGGCGGCGUGCCUAAUACAUGCAAGUCGAGCGAACAGAUAAGGAGCUUGCUCCUUUGAAGUUAGCGGCGGACGGGUGAGAACACGUGGAUAACCUACCUAUAAGACUGGGAUAACUUCGGGAAACCGGAGCUAAUACCGGAUAACAUUUAGAACCGCAUGGUUCUAAAGUGAAAGAUGGUCUCGCUAUCACUUAUAGAUGGACCCGCGCCGUAUUAGCUAGUUGGUAAGGUAACGGCUUACCAAGGCGACGAUACGUAGCCGACCUGAGAGGGUGAUCGGCCACACUGGAACUGAGACACGGUCCAGACUACUACGGGAGGCAGCAGUAGGGAAUCUUCCGCAAUGGGCGAAAGCCUGACGGAGCAACGCCGCGUGAGUGAUGAAGGGUUUCGGCUCGUAAAACUCUGUUAUUAGGGAAGAACAAAUGUGUAAGUAACUGUGCACAUCUUGACGGUACCUAAUCAGAAAGCCACGGCUAACUACGUGCCAGCCGCCGCAGUAA
rnacentral:rRNA from 1 species